CUACUACAAAAGAUUACCAAAAAGCAGACAGACCCAGGCUAAACAAUUCAAGUUUGUUGUUGCCAAGGCCCUGGAAAUCCCAACAUUGCUCCUGGAGACGUUGACUCCCGGGUAUGCUGUCUGGAGGAGAGGGUUCUACACAGGCUGUCAGGACAUCUCCGAGUUCCUGGAAAAAUAUAGAAGUCAACCUCAAACGAAAGAAGCUUUCAUUGACCUGAUUCAAAUGACAUCAAUGCUACUGAUCGACUUGAGGAAGUUUAUUUUACGCGGGCAAUCCACCAGGGCAGAGGGAAGUGUCACCCAGGAGGACAACUACUUCAAAUUUGAGGACUUCGUUAGAUUUAUUAUGGAUCACUUUGUCCUUGAGGCAUCCAGAAACCUACUUGAGAGACUCGUUAAUGCUCCAAGUCGCUUACGGUUGCUGUAUGCAUCCAGAAUGAGGACACACGCAGCAGAGAUGCCCUUCCUUCCACAGGUGUUUGUGCUAAAUAGAGGGCCAGUCAUAAAGCUGCUCACCACAACCAUCUCUAAAAACGUGGCUAACUUACUUCAUGACACCGUGGAUAUGAUGGCCAGAAAGAGAGCCUUGUUAGAGUCUGACACAGACACUGAGGCCGUCUCAGUCUCAGAGUACUCCAUCUCAGAGUCAGACACCUCAGUGUCCACUUCCCGCCUGCCUGAGGACAACCUCCGGUCCCAGGACUGUGGUGGACACAGUGGGACUCUGUGCCCUGGACAAGGGGGCAGUGUUCUGGCAAAGAGAGGAGUCACUGAAACCCUGAUCAGCUCCAGCAGCAGCAGCAGCAGAAACAGUAGCUGCAGCAGUAUCACUAGUGAGAUGAGUAGGCCUCACAGUACCUCCACCUGCUCUGUGAAAGAUCUUCCUACUGAGAGACCACAUGUGUCCUCCUCCAGCCUUUCCACCAGGCCAGAGGAGGCUGUUGCAACUCUAGCCAUGAGCUCCCACGAGGACUCAGCAAAUGUGAAGUCCUCAAGAGGAGAGGAUAAACAGCGGAGAAAAGGGAUCUUUACAAUCCACUGGAAAUCUAAAAGAUCUAUAGCUCCAUCGCCAGUGGUGGAGAAGCCUGUUGCCCAUUCCCCAGAGAGGACCAGGAGGCCAUCGCUGUCAUCACGCUUAGCCUCUGGCAUCUGCAGACUCUUUUGCUGCUGUGGUAAAGGUCAGGAUUGACCUCUUGUGGCAGGAAGAGGAGUUGAACCUCCUUUAAUUUCAAUGUUUUGCUUUGGGCCUGAAGAUUCAAGGUCCACGAUCCCAGUUGCUUUGGGCCCAGGCAGGGGCUUGUGAAAGUUCUGAUCUGACCACUUUCAAAAGUACCUUCCCUCUGGGCUGAGGGUGCGAUCAUAACGGACUGCACAAGGGCAGGAGCCACGUGCGUCAGUAUUGUUAUGAUGUUG
ensembl:lncRNA